AUUGAACGCUGGCGGCAUGCUUUGCACAUGCAAGUCGAACGGCAGCGCGGGGCAACCUGGCGGCGAGUGGCGAACGGGUGAGUAAUAUAUCGGAACGUACCCAAGAGUGGGGGAUAACGUAGCGAAAGUUACGCUAAUACCGCAUACGAUCUUAGGAUGAAAGCAGGGGACCGCAAGGCCUUGUGCUCCUGGAGCGGCCGAUAUCUGAUUAGCUAGUUGGUGAGGUAAAGGCUCACCAAGGCGACGAUCAGUAGCUGGUCUGAGAGGACGACCAGCCACACUGGGACUGAGACACGGCCCAGACUCCUACGGGAGGCAGCAGUGGGGAAUUUUGGACAAUGGGCGCAAGCCUGAUCCAGCAAUGCCGCGUGAGUGAAGAAGGCCUUCGGGUUGUAAAGCUCUUUUGUCAGGGAAGAAACGGCUGAGGGUAAUACCUUCGGCUAAUGACGGUACCUGAAGAAUAAGCACCGGCUAACUACGUGCCAGCAGCCGCCGUAA
rnacentral:rRNA from 1 species